AGCGAACGCUGGCGGCAGGCUUAACACAUGCAAGUCGAGCGGGCGUAGCAAUACGUCAGCGGCAGACGGGUGAGUAACGCGGGGGAACGUACCUUUUGGGUCGGAACAACACAGGGAAACUUGUGCUAAUACCGGAUAAGUCCUUACGGGGAAAGAUUUAUCGCCGAAAGAUCGGCACGCGUCUGAUUAGCUAGUUGGUGAGGUAAUGGCUCACCAAGGCGACGAUCAGUAGCUGGUCUGAGAGGAUGAUAAGCCACAUUGGGACUGAGACACGGCCCAAACUCCUACGGGAGGCAGCAGUGGGGAAUAUUGGACAAUGGGCGCAAGCCUGAUCCAGCCAUGCCGCGUGAGUGAUGAAGGCCCUAGGGUUGUAAAGCUCUUUUGUGCGGGAAGAUAAUGACGGUACCGCAAGAAUAAGCCCCGGCUAACUUCGUGCCAGCCGCCGCCGUAA
rnacentral:rRNA from 1 species